GUAGAAGUCUAGAAGACUAUGAUUCAACUUGGUCUGCGCGAGACGGUCUCGAAGGGUCGAGACCUUCACAACACAGUCUUCACCCGUGAACGGAUUCAGAUCCAAGUACGUUAUUCCAUGAAAACGGAUGCCGCGAGUGGUGACCAACGGAUUCGUUUCCCUUCACUGAUGGGCAAGUAAUCGCGCCACCUUUCCUCCGUACAUAGUUUGAAUGUUGAAUUUCCGUUCACGGAUUGUAUUUCAAUUUUCAGUGUUAAAUUUGUAUUACAAGUAUUACAAUGUUUACAGGA